rnacentral:rRNA from 1 species
CCUACGGGGGGCAGCAGUAGGGAAUCUUUCACAAUGGGCGAAAGCCUGAUGGAGCAACGCCGCGUGCAGGAUGAAGGCCUUCGGGUUGUAAACUGCUUUUAUAAGCGAGAAAUAUGAUGGUAACUUAUGAAUAAGGAUCGGCUAACUACGUGCCAGCAGCCGCGGUCAUACGUAGGAUCCGAGCAUUAUCCGGAGUGACUGGGUGUAAAGAGUUGCGUAGGUGGCAUAAUAAGUAGCUAGUGAAAUCUGGUGGCUCAACCAUUCAGACUAUUAGGUAAACUGUUAAGCUCGAGACCGUUAGGGGUAACUGGAAUUUCUAGUGUAGGAGUGAAAUCCGUAGAUAUUAGAAGGAACACCAAUAGCGUAGGCAGGUUGCUGGGACGGUUCUGACACUAAGGCACGAAAGCGUAGGGAGCAAACGGGAUUAGAUACCCCUGUAGUC